AAGUCUUUUAGUUUACAAAAAAUGUUAAAUUGCAACUUUAAAGAAAGAUAAUUCUAAAGGCUUA
rnacentral:tRNA from 1 species